rnacentral:rRNA from 1 species
GACGAACGCUGGCGGCGUGCUUAACACAUGCAAGUCGAGCGGAAAGGCCACUUCGUUGGUACUCGCUCGGCGGACGAGUGGGUAACACAUGCGUAAGUUGCCCCCCACUGUGUUUUAGCCACCUUCAACGGACAGUAAUACCUGAUAGGUCCAUACUUCUCAUGCCGUGUGGUGGAUAGUUUUUCGGUGGGGGAUGUGCUCGCGGCCUAUCAGCUUGUUGGUGUGGUAGUGGCUUACCAUGGCUUCGACGGGUAGCCGGCCUGAGAGGGUGACCGGUCACACUGGGACUGAGAUACGGCCCAGACUCCUACGGGAGGCAGCAGUGGGGAAUAUUGGACAAUGGGCGGAAGCCUGAUGCAGCAACGCCGCGUGAGGGAUGACGGCCUUCGGGUUGUAAACCGCUUUCGCCAGUGACGAAGCGUGAGUGACGGUAGGUAGAGAAGAAGCACCGGCUAACUACGUG